rnacentral:rRNA from 1 species
AUUGAACGCUGGCGGCAUGCCUUACACAUGCAAGUCGAACGCUGUAGCAAUACAGAGUGGCAGACGGGUGAGUAACGCGUGGGAACCUUCCCAAUGGUGCGGAAUAGCCCAGGGAAACUUGGGGUAAUACCGCAUAAGCCCUUAGGGGGAAAGAUUUAUCGCCAUUGGAUGGGCCCGCGUCGGAUUAGCUAGUUGGUGAGGUAAUGGCUCACCAAGGCAACGAUCCGUAGCUGGUUUGAGAGAAUGACCAGCCACACUGGGACUGAGACACGGCCCAGACUCCUACGGGAGGCAGCAGUGGGGAAUCUUGGACAAUGGGCGAAAGCCUGACGCAGCCAUGCCGCGUGGAUGAUGAAGGUCUUAGGAUUGUAAAAUCCUUUCACCGGUGAAGAUAAUGACUGUAGCCGGAGAAGAAGCCCCGGCUAACUUCGUGCCAGCCGCCGCGGUAAUAC